GUUGUUCGCAUGAACAACGCUUAAAAGAUGGCUUCUCGCUAUCACUUCUGGAUGGACCUGCGGUGCAUUAGCUUGUUGGUGGGGUAACGGCCUACCAAGGCGAUGAUGCAUAGCCGAGUUGAGAGACUGAUCGGCCACAAUGGGACUGAGACACGGCCCAUACUCCUACGGGAGGCAGCAGUAGGGAAUCUUCCACAAUGGGCGCAAGCCUGAUGGAGCAACACCGCGUGAGUGAAGAAGGGUUUCGGCUCGUAAAGCUCUGUUGUUAAAGAAGAACACGUAUGAGAGUAACUGUUCAUACGUUGACGGUAUUUAACCAGAAAGUCACGGCUAACUACGUGCCAGCAGCCGCGGUAAUACGUAGGUGGCAAGCGUUAUCCGGAUUUAUUGGGCGUAAAGAGAGUGCAGGCGGUUUUCUAAGUCUGAUGUGAAAGCCUUCGGCUUAACCGGAGAAGUGCAUCGGAAACUGGAUAACUUGAGUGCAGAAGAGGGUAGUGGAACUCCAUGUGUAGCGGUGGAAUGCGUAGAUAUAUGGAAGAACACCAGUGGCGAAGGCGGCUACCUGGUCUGCAACUGACGCUGAGACUCGAAAGCAUGGGUAGCGAACAGGAUUAGAUACCCUGGUAGUCCAUGCCGUAAACGAUGAGUGCUAGGUGUUGGAGGGUUUCCGCCCUUCAGUGCCGGAGCUAACGCAUUAAGCACUCCGCCUGGGGAGUACGACCGCAAGGUUGAAACUCAAAGGAAUUGACGGGGGCCCGCACAAGCGGUGGAGCAUGUGGUUUAAUUCGAAGCUACGCGAAGAACCUUACCAGGUCUUGACA
rnacentral:rRNA from 1 species